AACCCUAAACCCUAAACCCUAAAC
rnacentral:miRNA from 1 species